GCGAAAACUUUACAGUGCGGGAAACCGUGAUAAGGGAACUCUGAGUGCCCGUAAAAUCGGGCUGUCCAUCAGUUUAAAAAACUGGUGAAGAAAGGGCCGGGCAAGACCGGUGCCAGCCGCCGCGGUAAUACCGGCGGCUCGAGUGGUGGCCACUAUUACUGGGCUUAAAGCGUUCGUAGCUGGUUUGUUAAGUCUCUGGGGAAAUCUUCCGGCUCAACCGGAAGGCGUCUCAGGGAUACUGGCAGACUAGGGACCGGGAGAGGUGAGAGGUACUCCAGGGGUAGGAGUGAAAUCCUGUAAUCCUUGGGGGACCACCUGUGGCGAAGGCGUCUCACCAGAACGGCUCCGACAGUGAGGGACGAAAGCUGGGGGAGCAAACC
rnacentral:rRNA from 1 species